rnacentral:rRNA from 1 species
AACGUACGCUGGCGGCACGCCUAACACAUGCAAGUCGAACGAAGUAGCAAUACUUAGUGGCAGACGGGUGAGUAACAUGUGGGUAUCUGCCCUUUGGCCUGGAAUAACACGAGGAAACUUGUGCUAAUACUGGAUAAGUCUUUACGGAGAAAGCUUUAUGCACCAUUGGAUGAGCCCGCACUUGAUUAGUUUGUUGGUGGGGUAAUGGCCUACCAAGACUGUGAUCAAUAGCUGAUUUGAGAGGAUGAUCAGCCACAUUGGGACUGAGACACGGCCCAAACUCCUACGGGAGGCAGCAGUGGGGAAUCUUGCACAAUGGAGGAAACUCUGAUGCAGCGAUGCCGCGUGAGUGAAGAAGGCCCUUGGGUUGUAAAGCUCUUUCGUCGGGGAAGAAAAUGACUGUACCCGAAUAAGAAGGUCCGGCUAACUUCGUGCCAGCAGCCGCGGUAAUACGAAGGGACCUAGCGUAGUUCGGAAUUACUGGGCUUAAAGAGUUCGUAGGUGGUUGAAAAAGUUAGUGGUGAAAUCCCAGAGCUUAACUCUGGAACUGCCAUUAAAACUUUUCAGCUAGAGUAUGGUAGAGGAAAGCAGAAUUUCUAGUGUAGAGGUGAAAUUCGUAGAUAUUAGAAAGAAUACCAAUUGCGAAGGCAGCUUUCUGGAUCAUUACUGACACUGAGGAACGAAAGCAUGGGUAGCGAAGAGG